AAAUACUCUACAGUUCUAUAACGAACCCCACACAAUAAACCCGAAUCAAUCCAAUUUCGGGGCAAUCUGAAUAACAUUAAUUGAAAUCAAUUGAAUACACGAGUUUCGGCAACCAAUCAAAAUUCAAUUUUUAUUUAAUUUCUUCUCUUGGAGACGAGACUUAUGGCACACCUUAAGCUUUCACAUUAAAAUUCUUAAUGAUAAUUCUGUUAUCAUUAGAUUAGCGCAAAGCAUUUUCUGAUAUACCCCAACAGCUGCGUACGUGUUUUAAUUCAAAAAUAAAAAAGAAACAAGUUUUUUUUCGACUCUUUGAAAGUGCUGAUUAAUAUCGUGAUAAAAAAUGUGCAUUAUAAAUGAAAAGCUUAUUUCCGUUUUAAAGUCGUAAAUAUUUUUGUUGUUAUACAAUCAAUGCAGUGAAAUAUUUAUAAAAGGCAACAAGACGUAAGACAAUUAACUGUUGUAAAGAAAUAUCUUUUAAAUACGGAAUCUAAUUGGGAAAAAACAAUAUUACAUUUUAUUACUAAUGUAAUUUCAAAAAGGAUUUCUGAGCACUAAAGUAAAUAUCAAAACUUUUAUGAAUCUUGAAGGCCAUUCCAAAUGUGGGCUACCAGCUUAAUGGAUUUGUAAAUAAACUGUUUACAUUAUGUACAUAUGUGAAGCUUUAAAAAUUUGUAACCCUGACAUAAAGAAUUUCAGUUCAGAAGUAAACAUAUUUGGAAUAUUACAAAACGUAUUCAAAAUAUCAAUCAAACCGAAAUCAAAUUAAAAUUUUAAGUUUUUAAACUAUCUCAGUUUUGUUCGUAAUAAUUGCAAUAAUUUUACUGACCUUCCAAUUGAUUCAUCAAAGUUAUUUCAAUAAUUUAAAAGCAAAAUACAUUCCUCAUGUGGAUUACUUAUACAAGUUUCCAGCUAAAUAAUAAACACAAAUUUAAAAAAAAUUGUUGUGUAAACAUCGAUGCAACACGUUUAUUUACCUGUCAUUGAUAAAGGUGUAUAACUAAAUAAUGACAUAUUGUUUACAACACAAUUACUGAAACAGUUAAACAGUUGCGUUUACAUGCGAAAAAAAGUAAUUGUAAUAUCUUGGGGGGAAUCGUAGAUUAUCAUAUUCUGAUUUUGCACAACAAUGAAACACGCACUAAAAAUAUGUUCAGGUUGCUCUGGUUGACAACAGAAUUGCGAAAAAUGUUGAAAGCAUUCAAGAUCAAGGCGAUGGAUGAAACGACCAAAACAAACUUUUGUUUUUGUUGUACUAACGUAGAUUUAGAGAUUGCUAUACUACACACACACACACACACUCGUAUAGAGGCGGGAGGUGUGGCACGGGGAAAUCUCUGGCUGUUCACGAGUAUGGCAGAUGAUGCUGAUGGCAACAAAUUUGCGCGUGGCGCUUCAAAUUAUUCCUCUCUGUGUGUGUGUUGUUUUUUUUUUUUGCCAAAAUUAAAUAUGAAUAAUGUUCACAUGAGUCUGGGGGUCUCUUGACGCAAUUGAUUUAAAUUAUGCUUGACCAUAUUUGUGCCGCACACGCCGCAAUUGCAGUUGUCGAUGGACAUGUUUUUCAGGGAUAAUAAAAAUAUAUUCGACAAAUUCUAGCUAUAAAUAAUAAAGAAUGUCAAAAUAUUUAUAGUAUACUUGAAUUUAUAGUGGAAUAAAGAGAGCGCUGAUGAGAUUGAAAUGUUACAAUUACUAAAACUAUUUUCAGACUUCAAUUUGUAAAAUUUGUACUAUCCCUAGCAAUUCCUAACUCAAGUAACUCAGCAGUUUACAGUUCACAUAAGCUCAAAUUUUACAAUAUAAUAUUAAACACAUUUUCUUACCUUUUUACAUCCCUAUCAAUAUCAACAAAACUACCUCAACCGGCUAUUUAUCGAUCAAAACAAUUGAAAUGUUUCCAGCUGUAUUAACAUCCACUUACACAAGCAAUUUAAGUAGUUAUGUCUACAAAACUAAUCAGUAACUACAAAAAGUAAAUCAGCUGUUUGCAGAAUAAUUCACUUGAAAUAGCCCUUAAGUGCUCUCAUGAUCAAAGUACAUGAGUUAAACUAAUGGGCAAUCAGACCAAUAAAUUUCAUAUUAAUGCUGGCCGAAUCUGUAUUAUCACGAAUCAAACAAAUGAUCCAAGCAUACAUAGACUCUUAUCAGGCAUCGACUUUAUAGUUAUUCCCAUGUCUAGCCGAAAACAAGUUGAUAUGAAUCAACGAAAAAAAAAACUGCAAACAGUUGUUCCAAAAAUAAUAUGCCGAAUAAAUUCUGUGAUGAUGAAUCA